UUGCUUUUUGAUCCUUCGAUGUCGGCUCUUCGUAUCAUUGUGAAGCUGAAUUCACCAAGUGUUAUAUUGUUCACCCACCAAUAGGGAACGUGAGCUGGGUUUAGACCGUCGUG
rnacentral:ncRNA from 1 species